UGCGUAGGCGGAUAAAUAAGUCAGUGGUGAAAUCUUUCGGCUCAACCGGGAAACUGCCAUUGAUACUGUUUAUCUUGAGUUCGGUAGAGGUAGGCGGAAUGUGUGAUGUAGCGGUGAAAUGCUUAGAUAUUACACAGAACACCAAUUGCGUAGGCAGCUUACUAUGCUGACACUGACGCUGAGGCACGAAAGCGUGGGGAGCGAACAGGAUUAGAUACCCUGGUAGUCC
rnacentral:rRNA from 1 species